GAACUGCAAUGAAUAGCGCGUUGGACUUCUUAUCCAAUUAUCGUGGGUUCGAAUCCCACCUUAGAUG